rnacentral:rRNA from 1 species
AGUGAACGCUGGCGGUAGGCCUAACACAUGCAAGUCGAACGGCAGCACAGUAAGAGCUUGCUCCUACGGGUGGCGAGUGGCGGACGGGUGAGGAAUACAUCGGAAUCUACUUUUUCGUGGGGGAUAACGUAGGGAAACUUACGCUAAUACCGCAUACGACCUACGGGUGAAAGCAGGGGAUCUUCGGACCUUGCGCGAUUGAAUGAGCCGAUGUCGGAUUAGCUAGUUGGCGGGGUAAAGGCCCACCAAGGCGACGAUCCGUAGCUGGUCUGAGAGGAUGAUCAGCCACACUGGAACUGAGGCACGGUCCAGACUCCUACGGGAGGCAGCAGUGGGGAAUAUUGGACAAUGGGCGCAAGCCUGAUCCAGCCAUACCGCGUGGGUGAAGAAGGCCUUCGGGUUGUAAAGCCCUUUUGUUGGGAAAGAAAAGCAGCAGGUUAAUACCCCGCUGUUCUGACGGUACCCAAAGAAUAAGCACCGGCUAACUUCGUG